rnacentral:rRNA from 1 species
UGCAGUCGAACGAUGAUCCCAGCUUGCUGGGGGAUUAGUGGCGAACGGGUGAGUAACACGUGAGUAACCUGCCCUUGACUCUGGGAUAAGCCUGGGAAACUGGGUCUAAUACCGGAUACGACCAUCUGGCGCAUGUCAUGGUGGUGGAAAGCUUUUGUGGUUUUGGAUGGACUCGCGGCCUAUCAGCUUGUUGGUGGGGUAAUGGCCUACCAAGGCGACGACGGGUAGCCGGCCUGAGAGGGUGACCGGCCACACUGGGACUGAGACACGGCCCAGACUCCUACGGGAGGCAGCAGUGGGGAAUAUUGCACAAUGGGCGCAAGCCUGAUGCAGCGACGCCGCGUGAGGGAUGACGGCCUUCGGGUUGUAAACCUCUUUCAGUAGGGAAGAAGCGAAAGUGACGGUACCUGCAGAAGAAGCGCCGGCUAACUACGUGCCAGCAGCCGCGGUAAUACGUAGGGCGCAAGCGUUAUCCGGAAUUAUUGGGCGUAAAGAGCUCGUAGGCGGUUUGUCGCGUCUGCUGUGAAAGACCGGGGCUCAACUCCGGUUCUGCAGUGGGUACGGGCAGACUAGAGUGCAGUAGGGGAGACUGGAAUUCCUGGUGUAGCGGUGAAAUGCGCAGAUAUCAGGAGGAACACCGAUGGCGAAGGCAGGUCUCUGGGCUGUAACUGACGCUGAGGAGCGAAAGCAUGGGGAGCGAACAGGAUUAGAUACCCUGGUAGUCCAUGCCGUAAACGUUGGGCACUAGGUGUGGGGGACAUUCCACGUUUUCCGCGCCGUAGCUAACGCAUUAAGUGCCCCGCCUGGGGAGUACGGCCGCAAGGCUAAAACUCAAAGGAAUUGACGGGGGCCCGCACAAGCGGCGGAGCAUGCGGAUUAAUUCGAUGCAACGCGAGAACCUUACCAAGGCUUGACAUGAACCGGAAAGACCUGAAACAGGUG